rnacentral:SRP_RNA from 1 species
GUCAGGGUCCCGUGCGACGCUGAGCCGUGAACCCUGUCAGGUCCGGAAGGAAGCAGCAGUAAGCGGAUUUCAUGCGUGCGCCGCGGGUCAGCCUUGUUCGG